CCUGCCCCUAGAGGCAUCGUGGGUGGGACUGCUGGAUCACAUGUGUAGGUGGCAGAGAGGAGAGAGGCGAUGCCAAUGCUCAUUUCUGUGGACAGUUGAAAGAUGUUCCUGGAAAA
ensembl:snoRNA LOC120094520 small nucleolar RNA SNORA17